rnacentral:lncRNA from 1 species
GUUUUCCUGGGCUGGAGAGAUGGCUCAGUGGUUAAGAGCACUGACUGCUCUUCCAGAGGUCUUGAUGAAUCCAAUUCCCAGCAACCACAUGGUGGCUCACAACCAUCUAUAAUGAGAUCUGAUGAUCUCUCCUGGUGUGUCUGAAGACAGCUACAGUGUACUUAUAUAUAAUAAGUACUUCUUAGGAGAAUCAGGGAGAAAGAUCCACAUAAAACCUAAGAAGAGCCAGAACAGUUUUAGAAAAUCUGGAGUUUAUGUGUCUUCUCGGGUAGACCCAAUUCUUGAAGUAUGGGAAGAAAAUACAUCUGCAACGGAUGAAAAAACUAAAAUGGAAAAUUUCCAUUCCGUGCCUUCUGAGGCUGCUGCUGAUGUUGGACCUUCCACUUCUACUGCUGACAGCCUGGAUGCUGCUGAGCCUGCGCAGACUAAGUCCACCAAGGAGGCUGCCAGUCUGACUGCAGUUGAGCCUGAGCCAACUAAGUCCACCAUUGCCGCUGACAGUCUGACUGCAGUUGAGCCUGCGCAGACUAAGUCCCCCA